AUCCUCUUUCCUGUCAACACUUGAAUGGGACAAGUCACCAGCUCAGAAGUCUCAGGACCAGCGACAUCAAGAGCAGGAAGUGGCCAGUGCCUCAACUUCACUCCCCUCUCCCUCCUGGAACAGGCCCUCCAUCACCGUAGAUAAUUCAUGUCACUGAAUGGAACAUAGGUGAGAAGUGGGAGAAAGAACGAAAAUCUGGAGGUUGGAGGAUAAACAAACCCACAUCCUUGUGGAUGAAGAAGGAUACCAAAAACUCAUUUUCCUGGAAGGAGCAAUUUUUGAAAUCAGCUACACUGAGGCUGCAGAUUGAGUGAAGGUCUUUUCCAUGUGAAUUUGUCCUGCAUCUGGGAUAAAGGUAUAAUGAUUACCUAAAGCAUGUUCUGUUCAUGGAAGAUCACUGGAACACAAAAGACCAAGCUCACAGCAUAUUCAAGACAUCUGCUCGUAUUCCACUGGCCAAAGAAAGUGAUGUGGCCCAGCCUAAAGUCAGGAACAGGAGCAGGAGGCUUUGACAACUGAGAUCUUCGAUCAUGAGUGUUGUGAAUGCAGACGGGGUUUUGUACUCCAGGCACUGUGCUAGGCACCAGGACUAUAAUACAACUUGUGAUCUGUAGAGGAGUCAGACAAUUAUCCAGGCAUCCCAAAGAAAUGUCAAUUGCAAGCCUGGAUCCCUUUUUCCCUGGAGGCUGUUCUGAAGAUGGCACCCUACCUGCUCACCUUUUAGUGUACCUGGGCACCCAUGCCUCCAUAUGGUGACCCUCAAAUCAUACUGUAUGAAGAGCAGCUGUUUUGUCAACUAUUUUUUAAUGAGAUUUUUUUUGCUUUGGUUUAAAAAAUAGCAUAUAUUUGCGUUAGAAAAUUAGAAAUACAGAAGAAACAGAAAUAUAAAAGAAUUACCUAUAACAUGCAAAAAUGACUAGUACAAAUGUUUUUGUUUUUUUACAGUAUGUGAACAUAUUGUAUGUUUAUAUUAAUAUCCAUAGUAUUUAUUUUUGCCUACAUGUUUUACUUAACAUAUGUAGUAAGCAUUUCCCAUGUUAGUCAAAUUAUUUGUGGACAUUAUUUUUAAUGACUAUUAAUGUUAUUACUCUACAGCUUGCCGAAUAAGUCUCCUAUUAUAUGUCAUUUUGGGUCCUAGCAACAUUUUUGUGUUUAAAUCCUUGUAGCAGUUUUGACUGAUUUCCUUAAGAUAGAGUCCAAGAAGAGAAAUAAUUUGCUUGUUUGUUUAUCAUUUGGUACUUUCUUUUAUGGUAAUGUCCUUGGGGCUGAUAAUUCAGAACCAUGAAUAGAUAUGAUUCUUGUCUUUGAGGAGAUUGUAGCCUUGUGCUAGGUUAAAGAAUAGGCACGUUUUAAAGUUCUCGAUACACAUUUUCAAAGUGCUUUUCAAAAAUUUGUAUCAAUUCAUCCUUCUACUAUAAGGGAAAAUCUGUUCUGGGUUGUUUUUCUGGUAUAUCUUCCUAUUAAGAACCUGUUCUCCCUCCUGCUUUGUGACUCACAUGGAGUUGCCACUGCAUGCUAUCAUCUCCAUCCCUUAGAGCAACCUAUUAGAGAACUUACUCUCUGGAGUCCCAAAAGAGAAACAACAGCAACAACUCAGCAAUUCAUCUGGGGUCAGCGUGUUACCCAGUCUGGGCCAUUGGAGAUUUUUUUAAAGGGAAGUUUCUCCUAUUUUCUUCAAAAUUCUGAGCUGUGAAGAGGACCACUAGAAAGUUCAAUCUAUUUAUGAUUUUUUAAAAAACUGUUAUUAUAUAUAUUUAAGUGUAUGUCAUGUUUCCACACAUAUAUACAUAGUGAAAUGAUCACUGUAAUCAAGCUAAUUAGAAUAUCCCCCAUCUCGCAUAGUCACCUUUGUGUGUGAAAAGGGUUCAGUGCUUCCCUCUCCACUCUUCAUCUCCCCUUUAAAAAAGCAGAGAUGAAUGGAGAGGGAAAGGUUGAACAAUGGUUAUGUGGUGGGACUGCUGGGAUUCACCUGAGAGUUAAAACCAGCUAGUUCUACCCGUAUGUUUUUCACUUAGAUAAGCCAACAAAUUAAUUUCUUUUCCUCUAUUCUUCUUGUCUUCUUUCCUGCCUCUUUACCUGUCUCCCUUCCUUCCUCUCUUCCCACUCUCUUUCUUUCCUUAUUUAAAUUGGUUUGAAUUGAGUUUCUGACACUAAUGGAGAGUCCUUAUUGUGCCUUCACGUUAUUUUUAUCAAACCAGAAAAUGUUAAUGACAUAAAACAAUUACUGUUUGGACAAGGAAAAUUGUAUUUCUUUCCUUGAAAUUUCUACACACAUACACAUUUGUGCUUGUUAGUGAGGCUAAGCAUUUUCCCCCUUAUUUGUGAAUUAUAUAUUCAAUGUUUUGAUCCAUUUAUCAAAUAAAUUCCUUAGUUUAAAAAAUAUUUGCAGGUGCGGUUAUUAUGGAAAGCAGCAUGAAGUUUCCUCUAAAUAUUAAAAAUAGAAUCACCACAUGACUCAGCAAUCCCUCCUCUCUAUAUAUUUUUAAAGGAAAUGAAAUCAGCACUUCAUGGAACUAUCUCCACUCCCGGCUGGGCGCAGUGGCUCACGCCUGUAAUCCCAGCACUUUGGAAGGCCAAGGCAGGUGGAUCACGAGGUCAAGAGAUGGAGACCAUCCUGGCCGACAUGGUGAAACCCUGCCUCUACUAAAAAUACAAAAAUUAGCUGGGCGGGGAGGCACAUGCCUGUAAUCCCAGCCACUCGGGAGGCUGAGACAGGAGAAUCGCUUCAACCUGGGAGGCGGAGGUUGCAGUGGCUGAGAUCGCACCACUGCAGUCCAACCUGGUGACAGAGGGAGACUCCAUCAAAAAAAAAAAAAAGAAAAAAAGAAAUAUCUCCACUCUUAUAGUCAUUGAAGCAUAAUUAACAAUAACCAAGCUAUGAAAUCAAUGUAAGUGCCCAUCAAUGGAUGAGUGGAUAAAGAAAAUGUUACACACACACACACACACACACACACACACACACAGUGGAAUUUCAUGUAGCCUUAAAAAAGAAGACGAUUUUGUUAUUUAUAACAUGCCUGAAUGUGGAGGACAUUAGGUUAAGUGAAAUAAGCCAGAAAGAAAAAUACUGCAUGAUCUUACUUAUAUGUGGAAUCUAAAAACGUCAAGUACAAAAAAGCAAAAAGUAGAAUAGUGGUUGCUGGGAUCUGGGGCUGAGAUUAUGAUGGGCAAAUGGGAAGAAAUUGAGUGCAGAGUUUUGAUUAGGAUCAAUAAGUCUAGAGAGCAAAUGUACAGCAUGAAGACUAUAGUUACUACUGGGUUGUAUACUGGAAAUUUGCUAAGAAAGUAGGUUGUAGGUCCUCUUACCAUACACACAUAUACAGGUAACUAUGCGAGAUGAUGGAUAUUCUAAUUAGAUUGACUGUAGUAAUCAUUUCACUAUGUAUGUGUAUGAAAACAUGACAUACACCUUAAAUAUAUAUAAUAACAUUAAAAAAACCCAAAAUCUUGAAAAGAUUAUUAAGCUUUCCAAUGCCCAAGAAAAGGAAGAAAAGAAAAAGAAACUGCCACAGCUUAUUUUAAAAAUAAAAGUGGGCUCUCUUUUUAAAAUAUUAAUUUUAUAGUACCUUAUCUGGUAACCAAAAUAUUUUUAAAUAUUCUGAUGCUAUUAUAGUAUAAUCAUUCUUUAAUAAUUUUGUAGAUUUCACUUUACUGAACAAAGCCCUAAACAAAAACAUUGAAUAUGACAAAAACUUGCAUAAGUUUAUUUCAUACUGAAGACAUAUAUGCUAUAGAUUUGUAGAAAUACUUCCCACUUGGUUACUUGCUUAUGUUAUGAGUUUUUACCUACAGAAACUUGCUUUUUUUCUUGUAAAAUUUAGAUUAAUUUCUUUGGUAUGUUUUCCUACUGCUUUAAAACUUCAGAAUUCCUUUUUUCAUAGAACUUUUCUAUUUUCACUUAGAAACAUUCAGAACUUAUGUUAGUGUGUGAUUUGAGGUGGUUUUUGUGUUGACUUUGUUUCCUACCUUGUUAGCUAUUUUUUCUAUGCCAUUGUGGAAUAAUUUGUUAAUUUUCAGUGGAUUCAUAAUGCCUUUAAAAAAUAAGGUUGUGUUCUCAGAGGUGAUAAAUUUUAUUUAUUUAUGAUGCUCCAUCUAUGUUAAGGCUAUUUGUAAGUCUAUGUGUAUGGUAGGAUUUUAGUUCUACACUGCAUCUUACACAGGUUAGUAAAAUAUAGCACAUUUAUUAAUUAUUUAGAGUAUAGGAUUACGUAUUGAUAAGUACAAGCUAUUGAGCCUUCCCAUGUCCUAGGCACUUUGCUGAAUUUUAAUCCUUAUCACAACUCAAUGGGAUAGAUACUGUUGUCAUCUUUUGUAGACAUGGGUUUAUUAUAGCUAUUUUAAAAUGAGUUAGCAAAUUCAAAUUUCAAAAAUUCUAUUUUUAUUUCUAAUAUGGUAAAUAUUGAUAAAUAAAAUUUAUAUAAACAAAUAUUUUGAUGUACUCAGUAACCCAUAAGGGUAUAUAAGAGCCCUGAAAUGAAAAAGUUUGAGAACUGCUUAUAAGCCCUAUAUAAUUAUUAGGUAUUAAUAUCAUUAUUAAUUUUUGAAUCUAUAUUCAAAUAUAGUUAUCAUAAAAUGAACUUCAUAUAUGUAAGUGUAUACUUUGAUGUGUUUUGACAUAUGUAUAUUAUAAUGAAGCCAUCAUCAUAAUUAAGAUAAUAAACAUAUCCAUCACUCUCAGAG
rnacentral:lncRNA from 1 species